rnacentral:rRNA from 1 species
CCUACGGGAGGCAGCAGUGAGGAAUAUUGGUCAAUGGGCGCAAGCCUGAACCAGCCAUGCCGCGUGCAGGAAGACGGCUCUAUGAGUUGUAAACUGCUUUUGUACUAGGGUAAUUUGCGGUACGUGUACCGUAUUGAAAGUAUAGUACGAAUAAGGAUCGGCUAACUCCGUGCCAGCAGCCGCGGUAA